rnacentral:tRNA from 1 species
GUCCCGGUGGCUUAGCGGCUAGAGCGGUCGGCUGUUAACCGACAGGUCGCCAGUUCGAAUCUGGCCCGGGACGCCA